CAGUCGAGUAGAAGCGGUCAGCACUGAACGGGUCCGACACCGGACACCUCAGCGCAGGGCAUUGCUCUGGCG
rfam:Pseudomonas sp. MF4836 contig001, whole genome shotgun sequence.